rnacentral:rRNA from 1 species
GACAGAGGUGCCAAGCGUUAGGCGGAAUCACUGGGCUUAAAGCGUGUGUAGGCGGAUCGUUAAGUGUCUUGUGAAAUCCCACGGCUCACCCGUGGAACGGCUGGGCAUACUGGCGAUCUUGGGCCAACUAGGGGCAACUGGAACAAGCGGUGGAGCGGUGAAAUGCGUAGAUAUCGCUUGGAACGCCAAAGGUGAAAACAGGUUGCUGGGGUUGUGCCGACGCUGAGACACGAAAGCCAGGGGGGCAAACGGG